rnacentral:RNase_P_RNA from 1 species
GGUAGGUGGACGGCUGCUCGCGCCUGUGCGCGGGAGGAAAGUCCGGGCUGCAGUGAGGCAGGACCCCACCUAACGGGUGGCCGGAGCGAUCCGAGGGCAAGUGCAACAGAAAGCAGACCGCCCGCUAUCUCGCGGGUAAGGGUGAAACGGCGGUGUAAGAGACCACCGGUCUCUACGGCAACGCAGAGAGCCAGGUAAACCCGGUCCGCAGCAAGAAGCACCAGGUAAAAGCCUCACAUUCGUGUGCUUCGCUCGAGCGUAUCGGCGACGAUACGCCAAGAUAAAUAGUCGUCCAAGACAGAACCCGGCUUAUAGCCUGCCUUC